AACAAAUUCAUAAAAUAGGCUACAAAAAUAGAAUAUGAAAAUCCAUUAUCCUUGGAGAGGCAUCAUUAGCAUUUCCAACAACGUUCUUCUACACUAAAUGUUUUCCAAUUACAUGCCCCUUAUUUAAAUACCACCAAGCAAUCACCAUCAACUAUACAAUGACUCUAGGGGAUGAAAUCAUGAAUUCCAGAUACCUACAACUAUGAUCUAUGUUUUGCUUCAAGGUGCUUUAGUUUUGGCAUCACAAAAAUAUUGGACCAUGUCCAGCAACACAAAUGAAAAGGACCCACUCUAGCUAUCACUCCUGUCUGCAAUACUCGCUAAGAAACUAGACCUCCAAUUCCUACAAGCCUAUGACUAAAAUUUAAGUUAGCAAAUAUGUUACAUUUUGUUUAUUCUGUCAGUUUUCUUUCAUGAGAAGAUCAUAUCCUUCUAUCUAAUAUUGGUGUCUAAUGACUGGUAUGAAAUCUUCCCAUACAUAUUAGAUUGACCCAGCAAUGAAAUUUCUUCAGGAGACAGCAUUAGUGAGCCAGUACUCAAGUAAUUCCUAGCAGCUCGUCCCCUCCGUCUUUUAGUCUUGCCGUCACCUUCAGAUAAACGAGAAGAUUCUGAUCUUGAAAUGUGCCCCAGAGACGAAAGAUAUUCAUAAAAUGCAUCACCUUUUAUCGUCAUAUAUGCUCGUGAAGGAACUACUGACUGGAUUAUAUUGGUAUAAUGCAACUUCUGCUCACUAUUUGUCACCGGACCAUUCUCUGGCAAGGCCAUCUCCGCACCCAGCCCAACAUUUAACGUCUUAGUAUUAAUAUUUUGUCCAAGUGAACUACUGACUUUCAUCUUGGUAGCGGUAGACAGCAUCUCCCAGAUCAAAUCCCCACUACUUUUGUGGCCCAUGUUUAACCCUGCAGCAACAAUGUCUUUGGCAUAUAAGCAAAAUCCAUGCUGCAGAAUUGUUGAUGCCAUCUGCAACUGCUCAUUACACCAGCUGGAUGCUUCUGAUUCCUCAGAAAAAACCAUUGGCAAUCCAAAAGAAUCCAGUGAUUGGCACUUAGUAUGCAAUAGUUCAGCUUCUGAAAUUAGAUUGCUCAUCCCACAAGCAAGUCUAAUGAUUCCAGGAGAAUAUUUGUGUUCUGCAGCUACUAAAUGUCUCAGAUCUGCAUGACGAUCACGAAGUUUUCUCCAUGACUCUCGUACUGUAUCAAUUACAGCAGAGGACCUACCCUCCUCAUGCUGCUUGAAUUUCCUACUGAAAUCUAUACAGCUACACUCAUCCAUCAGCUGAUGUUCUCUUGCGAUGGAUUCCAUGAGAUCAUUUUGAGAAUCUUCCACCUCCUCAUGAGAUGAUACUGCAAUCGCAUCACAAGUACCUGAUAACAAGUCAGAAUCUUUAUACAAUUUGGGCAUAGAUUCAUCAAAAUUGUUAGCAUCAACUGGCAAUAUGCUUUGUCUGAAUUCGUUGCUCACUGAAGCUUCUUCUAAAACUUCUGCCUGGCCCACUUGGUCACAAGACAACCUACCAAAUAAUAUUUUUGUUCCAUCAUCAAUUUCAGUUUCGGGAACAUAUGAUGAUUCUGGCACACAUGACAUAUCAACUGAUAUGCACGUGUCUUUUACAUUCAAGUGAACUGCUGUUUCAGAAAAAAGUUGCAGCUCAGUUGAUGGGCUGAAGCCUUUUUGCAUGCUUGGAUGAUGGGAAGCAAAUUCGCCUUUUUCAAGGGAAAAUUCGUUGAUAAUAUCCUUGUCAGGACUUGUUGGCAAUCUGUCAUCUUCAGAAUCAGAAGACAUCACCACAAGUUUUCUCUUAUGGCUUUUCUGAGAGAAUGGAACUGUGCUGUUUGAGGAAUCAAAAAAACCACAUGCUGGAUUGAAAGAAGCAAUGAAGUCAAUGCAAUCAUGAUCAAAGCAAUUCUUGCUUAACAUUGCUUUCUUCUUGGCUUCUAUACUGUCUAUUUCAUAAAUAUGCUUCUCGAAAUAGUUCUGAAUAUCUUUAUCAUCAAAUUUAUCUUCAAUGACCUCGGUGAAGACACCACUUUUUUCCAUCAUGCAUAAUAACAUUGUGAUCUCCUUCUCAACUAGUUCAGAAAGCCAAGAAGGGAAAUCCCAAGGGAUCAUCUUUGGCAAUAUCUGAUACCUGUCUUCAAGACUAAAUGGAAUCAGGCUGAAAAGUCUCCUUACUUCAUUACCUUUUCUGAAUUGUUCACCCUGACACCAGAACUGUAGAUGCAUAAUGAUUUUCCUCAUAUCUCGCUGACAAAAUUCAAUUAAUUGCUCUACUAGAUGAGGUUGAACAUUAGCCUUCUCUGCAGAACAAACCAUGUACAGAUGCUGAAAAAGCUCCUUCUCUAAUGGCCUUUUAAAACACAAUUCUAGCCUAUCCAAAUUGUCAGGAAGAACAGGUUUGUCACUAUUUGUAGUCAGUAUCACAGGCCACUUUACUUUGCCAGAAAUUUGUUGUAUUGCACUGAUAAAACCACGAUCUUCAGAAAAGAUAACAUCCACGUCCUCAAACAGAAUCAAGGGUUUAAGUUGACCUUGACCACAGGCAACUGAACUGUCCUUGUAAACAACCUUCUCAAAUGUUUCAGUAGCUUCAUGAGAAAUAUCCUCAUCUGCUAUGGAUAUCACUUCAAUCACUUCGCUGUCAAUCUCUUGCACCAUUUUACCAUUGGGAUGGGCUGCAGGGGGCUUUAUAAUGUCCAUGAUCUGAAAUUCUAAAGUACUCUCCUGUGACCAUUGAAGGAGUUGUGAGUCCAAAGUGGAUUGCGAAUCUAACACACCAAAUCUUUCCUUCACAGCAGCUCCAUUUCGACACUCCGAGGUAUUGACCUCCAGAACUCUGAACCCUUGUUCCUUAGCGCAAGCAUAGAUAGCUGCAGACUUCCCACUCCCGACUAGUCCAGUAAUUAAGAGAACAUUCUUAAAGCUGGCCUCCUCACUAAUGUUUUCAGAAUCAGAAUCAUUUUGGGAACAUUUAUAAUCAGGAUCGUGCAUAUAACAUUCAUCAGCAACAGAGGAUGCUUUGCUGGUUUCAUGACUUCUUUGAUGCCAAGUGCAAAGCCAUUCAUUCAAAAAUUUCACUGAAUCAUCAUUACCACAUAUCUCCAUGGCCUUUUUGGGCUGGUACUUAUUUGUCCACAAUCUGUUAUCAGGCUGAUUGGCACAACCAAGGUGAGAUGACAUCCUUUCUUGCUGAAUUUUGCUUUGCUGGUCAGCAUCUGAUUUUCUUACACAACCAGAAAGCAGACCAACUUCAUCAACCUGAUAGUCUGUUUCAGCAUCCUUAAUGAGCUGAUAGCAUUCCACCUGUGCCCCAGAUGACAUGGCUGUUGCUGAUGCUUCAUACAAAAGUUCUUGCUGAGGAAGACAUUCAACCAAAGGUGUAUUAUCUUGAAAAGGCAAAACAAUGGGAUGCAAAACACUUGGAAACUCAUCAAAGGAUAAUGACUUGACAGUGCAUUCAAAAAUUGAUGAGAACGAGCUUUCUGGAGUAAAACUGCUAUUGGCAAAUAAUUUCUCACAAAAUUUCCAAUCUCUCCAAUCAAGAGGCUCAGCAUCAUCCUACAUGGCAGGAGUUAAUUUCACCAUAUGUGAGUUAAAAGUGAAUAUAAAUCAGUAACGUCGAACAUUACUGAUUUGGGAGUGACUUUAUAUUGAUCUCUCACCAAUGCAGAGGCAGAGCUACAAUCAUUGUUGGGAACACUUUAACAUUUUAAAAUUGAAAUGAUGAUGCAUACCUGAUCUCUUUCAAAUACAUGAAUGGGACCAAUUGAAAUGCUUCUAGGUUUUCUUUCUAUAGCUGUCUUGUGACCUAUCUUACCCACGUUCUGAGACAAGAAAAAAGGGUGCAUUUGUUUUCCACCAAACACUCUUGAAUUUUCCUCAGCCAUCAUUUUUGCCUCUAACCUAAGAUUAGGGAUUUGUAGCAAUGCAUCCCUGUUCUCUAUCAAAUGAUCAGCAUUUUUCCCAUUACUUGUCCCAUUCUUUUUAGGUGUGGCAUUCUUUCUACCCACGCUAUUUAUAGAUGAACCCUUUGGCUUUUUAGAUGUAGUAUCCUUUUCAGGCGUUGCUUCUGCAGAUGAUACCUUCUUUGCCCUUCUAGAAACUUUAGGAGUUUUAGUUUGGGGAGAUUCUUUCCGCUUUCGCGUUCUUUUCUUCUUGCCUUGACUCCCACAGCACUGCUCGUCAUCACCGUCCUUAACCUCACCAUUGCAUUCUUUAUCGUCCUUUUGAUCAUCUUUGGAUUCGAUUACUGGAGAUUUAUGGGGAAACAGCGUGGACUGCACCAGCCGGCGGCUAAUUCUACUGCUCCCCCGCUGCUGAAUCUCUUCGGCGGCAGCAGCUAACGUCGUUGGCCCUUCUCCGUCGGGUGAUUUAUCCAUGGAAUUAUGUUAAUUUAGUAAAACAGGUAUUGGGAAUUAUGGUCCUAAAGAAUUGGGGAUUUUUUGAGUGAGAAAGGUAGGGUGCAAAGGGAACGUGGCCAGUAGAGAGAGAGAGAGAGUACCGG
rnacentral:misc_RNA from 1 species